rfam:Triticum aestivum genome assembly, contig: Triticum_aestivum_CS42_TGACv1_scaffold_472557_6AL
CAAAUACUCCCUUCGUUCAGAAAUACUUGUCGUAGAAAUAGAUGUAUCUAGACAUUUUUUAGUUCUAGAUACAUCCAUUUCUUCGACAAGUAAUUCGGAACAGAGGAAGUAGCAA